UGAGUACGAGAUGCUACGGCAUCGAAGCAGUCUAUGUCAUACUUCCAAGAAAAGCUUGCAAUGUCAUAAACAAAUAAUGCCUGUACCAUAACCGACACAGGUGGGUAGGUAGAGUAUACUAAGGGGCGCGAGAUAACUCUCUCUAAGGAACUCGGCAAAAUGACUCCGUAACUUCGGGAGAAGGAGUGCCUUAUUUUUAUAAGGUUGCAAUAACAAGAUCCAAGCAACUGUUUACCAAAAACACAGGUCUCCGCUAAGUCGUAAGACGAUGUAUGGGGGCUGACGCCUGCCCAGUGCCAGAAGGUUAAAGAAGUUGGUUAGCAUUAGCGAAGCUGAUAACUGAAGCCCUGGUGAACGGCGGCCGUAACUAUAACGGUCCUAAGGUAGCGAAAUUCCUUGUCGGGUAAGUUCCGACCCGCACGAAAGGCGUAAUGAUUUGGAUACUGUCUCGGAGAGGGGCUCGGUGAAAUAGACUUGUCUGUGAAGAUGCGGACUACCUGCACCUGGACAGGAAGACCCUAUGAAGCUUUACUGUAACUUGAGAUUGAAAUUGGACUUUAUCUGCGCAGUAUAGGUGGGAGACGUUGAAAAUAUUCUUGCGGGAAUAUUGGAGUCAUCAGUGAGAUACCACUCUUAUGAUGUUAGAUUUCUAACUUUGUAUCAUUAUCUGGUCAAAGAACAGUUUCAGGCGGGCAGUUUGACUGGGGCGGUCGCCUCCCAAACGGUAACGGAGGCGCACAAAGGUUUCCUCUGAACGUGUAGAAAUCGUAUCUAGAGUGUAAAGGCAUAAGGAAGCUUGACUGUGAGACCUACAAGUCGAGCAGGGACGAAAGUCGGUCUUAGUGAUCUGACGGUGCUGAGUGGAAAGGCCGUCACUCAACGGAUAAAAGUUACUCUAAGGAUAACAGGCUGAUCUCCCCCAAGAGUUCACAUCGACGGGGAGGUUUGGCACCUUGAUGUCGGCUCAUCGCAUCCUGGGGCGGUAGUACGUCCCAAGGGUUGGGCUGUUCGCCCAUGAAAGCGGUACGCGAGCUGGGUCCAGAACGUCGUGAGACAGUUCGGUCCAUAUCCGGUGUAGGCGUUAGAAUAUUGAGAGGAGCCUUCUUUAGUACGAGAGGACCGAGAAGGACAUACCUCUGGUGUACCAGUUAUCGUGCCAACGGUAAACGCUGGGUAGCCAUGUAUGGAGAGGAUAACCGCUGAAAGCAUCUAAGUGGGAAGCCCACCUCAAGAUAAGUAUUC
rnacentral:rRNA from 1 species